AAGCUUGACACUAAGUUCGACAAGGGUCACCGUGCCCGUUUCAUUGGGAGUGAAGUGAUGCUCCUGCCACUGCGGAUGAGGGGUCACAAGACAACCGUUAAGAUGGAUUACGAUGAGUGGUAUGCACCAUUCUACAGGAGAGCCCGACUAUUGGGUUUUGUCCUGCAGUUCAAGCGUAAGCCGCCGACGCUCGUCCACUCAGCUCUCACGGCUUUGAUCGACUGGUGGCGGCCAAAGACGCACAACUUCCAUAUUCCAUGUGGGGAGAUGACGGUGACCCUCCAAGAUUGGGGGAUGAUUACGACCCUACCG
rnacentral:rRNA from 1 species